CUAGUUGGUAAGGUAACGGCUUACCAAGGCGACGAUCAGUAGCCGACCUGGGAGGGUGAACGGCCACGUUGGACCUGAGACACGGUCACAGCGCAUACGGGGGGCAGCAGUGGGGAAUAGUGCACAAGGGCCGCAAGCCUGAUGGAGCAAAGCCGCGUGAGUGAUGAAGGCGUUCGGGUCGUAAAACGCUGUGCUAAAGGAAGAGAAGGACGGGACUUGGGGAGGAAGCCCCGGCGAACUACGUGCGAGCAGCCGCGGUAAUACGUAGGGGGCUAGGGUUAUCCGGAUUUACUGGGCGUAAAGGGUGCGUUGGCGGUCUUACGGGUCAGGAGUGAAAGGCUACGGCUCAACCGUAGUAAGCUCUUGAAACUGGGAGACUUGAGUGCAGGAGAGGAGAGUGGAAUUCCUAGUGUAGCGGUGAAAUGCGUAGAUAUUAGGAGGAACACCAGUU
rnacentral:rRNA from 1 species